rnacentral:rRNA from 1 species
GUAGGUGGUGUAACGGACCACCUAGCCUAAGACGGGUACGGGCCUUGAGAGAGGGAGCCCGGAGAUGGGUUCUGAGACACGAACCCAGGCCCUACGGGGCGCAGCAGGCGCGAAACCUUCGCACUGCGCGAAAGCGCGACGAGGGGAGCCCGAGUGCCUCUCCAUUUCGGGGAGGCUUUUCACAAGCCUAAAAAGCUUGUGGAAUAAGGGCUGGGCAAGACGGGUGCCAGCCGCCGCGGUAAUACCCGCAGCUCGAGUGGUGGUCGCUUUUAUUGAGCCUAAAACGUUCGUAGUCGGCCUUGUAAAUCCCUGGGUAAAUCGGACCGCUUAACGGUUCGAAUUCCGGGGAGACUGCAAGGCUAGGGACCGGGCGAGGUCAGAGGUACUUUCGGGGUAGGAGUGAAAUCCUGUAAUCCCGAAGGGACCACCUGUGGCGAAAGCGUCUGACUUGAACGGCUCCGACGAUGAGGAACGAAGGCUAGGGGAGCAAACCGGAUUAGAUACCCGGGUAGUCCUAGCUGUAACCUCUGAAAGCUUGGUGUGGCCUGUCCUUCGGGGGCAGGCUGUGCCGGAGCGAAGGUGUUCCCCCCAAAGGUUGGGGAGAUCGGCCGCAAGGUUGAAACUUACCGGAAUUGGCGGGGGAACACCGCAACGGGAGGAUGCGUGCGGUUU